rnacentral:rRNA from 1 species
GAUGAACGCUGACAGAAUGCUUAACACAUGCAAGUCAACUUGAAUUUGGGUUUUUAACUUAGGUUUGGGUGGCGGACGGGUGAGUAACGCGUAAAGAACUUGCCUCACAGCUAGGGACAACAUUUGGAAACGAAUGCUAAUACCUAAUAUUAUGAUAAUAGGGCAUCCUAUAAUUAUGAAAGCUAUAAGCGCUGUGAGAGAGCUUUGCGUCCCAUUAGCUAGUUGGAGAGGUAACGGCUCACCAAGGCGAUGAUGGGUAGCCGGCCUGAGAGGGUGAUCGGCCACAAGGGGACUGAGACACGGCCCUUACUCCUACGGGAGGCAGCAGUGGGGAAUAUUGGACAAUGGACCGAGAGUCUGAUCCAGCAAUUCUGUGUGCACGAUGAAGUUUUUCGGAAUGUAAAGUGCUUUCAGUUGGGAAGAAACAACUGACGGUACCAACAGAAGAAGUGACGGCUAAAUACGUG